rnacentral:lncRNA from 1 species
AUGUGUCACAGAGCCUCCUCGCUCCUCGACGGAGCCUCAGGGGUGAAGUGGGCGAGUCCGAGCCUAGUAGAGGCCAAGGCGAACGAGGGGCUGCGGGGCGACCAGCCGGGGUCCCGGGGCGCGGCGCGGGCCGAGGGGCGGGGGCCGACGGCUGCGAGGCGGCCUGCAGGGAGCAGCCGCGAGCCGGCCGGGCGCGCGGAGCCGGAGCCCCAGCCGGAGCGGGGCGGGGGAGGGAGGAGCCUGAGCGGCCGCCGCCUCUGCCGGAGGAGCGCCGGGGCCGCCACACUCGCCCCCCGCCCCCCGCGCUCACUCGCACUCACACCCCGGCGCUGGAGGCGGGCGGCCCGGGCCCAACCGGCCCCCCAUGGACGCCCCCAGCACGGGGCGCUGAGACCCCCGCGUCGUUGCCCAACUCGGUUCAGCGCGCCAAGCCAAGGUGGGCAUUUGACCUGAAGAGAGGGAGUUAGGAUUUACAGGUUAGUGCCAGAGGCACAGCCACACCCACUCAGCAGUGGCAAAGAGUGGUGGUUUGGGCCAAGCAGCCACCCACCUUCUCUUCUCCUCCCCUUCCUCUUGCAAGGAAGAGAUGAGCUCCUGGCUCCGAAGCCCUGUCUGUUUCAUUUUCUCUUUUACCAGGCCUGGGGAGGAGGAGGAGGGGACAAGCUUUGGUGACUAUCAGCAUUUUCAUACACAUCAGUGAGUGGGUGUGUUGUGCAUGCAUCCAUGUGAGUGUUUUGUGCAUGUGUGGGCUGGGUAGGGCUCUGAAUAUCUCCUGGAACGGGUCCUGGAGCCCUGUAGUUCUGCGCAUGCGGGAUGAAUGUGUGAGUCUGCACGUGUCCAUGUGUGUGCCUGAGACUCAGCUGCAUUUGCUCUUCUCUCUCUCUCUCUCUCUCUCUCUCUCUCUCUCUCUCUCUCUCUCACACACACACACACACACACACACACACACUCUCUCUCUAAUCUCUCUCCCAUCCCCAGUUCCUUUUCCUUCCUUCCCUUUCUAUUCUUCCCCUCCCUCUGUCUCCCUCUGCAUCUCCUCUCUUGCUCUCUGCCUCCCUCCCUCUGCCGCUGCCAGUUCUGACUAGGUGGGGGCUAACUCUUGCCUCUCUGGUGUGCCUAGGAGAACAUCCUGUCUUUCCUUCCCCUACAUCAUUCCUUCCC